CAGCAGGGAGUGCAUCAGGACUCAUGGAUUUUCUUUUCAUCUCUGUCACAAAUCCACUAUGACAUAUUGGGCGAGUCAGUCCAGUCCAAAUCUACUUAUUGGGAUCAAUGCAAUAGCUGCUGAAGUCACUUAAGCAGAUCCACAGUCACACCUGGGUAACAAAGAUUAAACUCUAACCUGGAGCAAAAAGAGAAUCUUGCAAGAACCUUCGGUAUCAGGGAAGAGCUGAUGUGCUAAAGCUUCCCAGAUGAUCUCGGAGUACAAACAGUGCCCUUCUGCUUCCUUAUAGACUGCUAUAAAACCCACCGUGCAACACUUCAUGCUCUGAAAGUCUUUAAUUAUGAAGCAGGUAUUCUACUGAACAUGGGAACGCGGCACGUCUUUGUCAUCUGCAUCUUGCUGGCUGUGAUUUUUCUGCCUGGUGAACAGUGAUGGAAACUUUCCACCUCUCCCCGCUCCUCCAGGUUGUGCCGCAGGGCUCUCUCACCUGGGAAUGUCACCCCAGCUGUAACCUGUGGCCCAAAUUUCAAACCUUUCCCACAACUGGCAUCAUUUGGGGUUGGGGUGGCUGAGCAGAGCUGUAUUACGAACCUCUCAGCAUCACUUCUGAGUCAGCCAAGGGCAAAGCUGUUAAAUGAUGUGAAUUAACCCCUUUAGCAAGUGCUGGGCAUGUGUCCCUGAAUCUCCUGCCCCAGAAGGCAGAGCACAAGAACCAUCAAUCAAGGCAAAGCUACUGACAACACUGUGCUGGCAACUGCCCAAAGACAGUGCACGGCAGUUACAUGAAGGCUACAACAAAUUGCAGAAGCUGGAGCAAUGUUAUUUUACUUCAGUGCUUCAUCUCCUCUUCUAUCCCGAGAUGGCAUCUACUAACCAGGAUUCAUCCCCAGAACAGGAAUAUGCUCAGGACAGUCUCCAGAACCCAUUAAUUUAGUUAACUACAGUUAACUACUGGACAAACUGGAGUAGAGGAACGAGUAAUCGAGAGCAAACAGCAAGUGUGAAGGAGGCUAAAGAACUGAUGAACUCCCCUCUUCUUACACAGAAUGUGUUGAAGGGAUACCUGUGUUUAAAUCAUACCUACCAGCUGGCAUCUUUUCCUAAUUAUGCCUCCAAUUAUAUUUAGUCUAUGAAAAUUGUCAGGUCACACAGUUCUACCCAGAUUGCUUUUUAACUACCUGAAUCAGGAGUAAUUGGAGGCAUUGCCCCAAUAUAUAAUAUACUUGACAGCUGCAAUGAGUGCUUAAUUUCCACAGGGAGUUUUCCAGCCCACAUUGAGCUCUGUGCUGCUCAUGGUACUGGAGUGGUUUAAAGCCAGAUCAAGCCUAUUUACAGAGACAGCCACAAAUGGGACCUAUCCCUGGUGGUGUGUGCAACAGUUCAGCUCCAUCCAUCCAUCCAUCCAUCCAUCCAUCCAUCCAUCUUCCCUCCAUCCAUCCUCUCUCCCUCCCUCCAUCCUCCAUUCAUCCUCCCUCCCUCCCUCCAUCCUCCAUUCAUCCAUCCACAGAGCAAUCUGCCUCUUCUCUGUCUCCUGUGUCUGAAGAUUGUCAGUCAGAGUAUUGCUUGGAGAACAAGGAAUUCUGGUUUUGAUUGAGAAAUUCUGUAAUUCUCGUAAAUUAGAAUACCUGCAGGUGACCGAGUACUAUUUGGAGCUACAGCUGCAGGGAGAUUUUUGUAAGUAGCACUUCCACUUACAACUUAAUCAAAUUACUACUAAGCUUAUGGCAUCCCAAAGCUUUCAGAAAGCUGGUGGCACCACUUUUUGCUGUAACAAUAGCCUGAAAUUCCUAUUUUCUGUUCAGUGAUCACAUUUACUAAUUCGUGAGAUGGCCAUGUAGGCACUUGUGAUACAAGAGAACUGGAAAAUCUAUUUAGAGGCAAAAAAGGCAGCCUUAAUGUUACUAGAAUGUGUUUCCAGAUGUUGCUUUGCCCAUGUCCUUACAGCUGUCAUGGCACUGGGUGUCACCGGGUCUGCCCUGGCUCUGGGUGAAUAUUCUCACACAUAGAAGACAAGUUACAUUUGCUGGUGUUUUACUUUGUGCAGAACAGCAGUAUUUAAGCCAUACUUAAGGAUUCAGCCUCUUAUUUUUCAUUAGCAGCUUCAAUUUUUGGUUGUUGCUCUCUCCUCCCAUUCAGAGACCCCUUAGUUCUCUUUGGAGAAUAUUUAAAACAAAAGCAUGUCCAAUUUAGCAGGAACAGCCCUCCUUCCCUAACAACUUGAUAAAUUAUCUGCUGCAGUCAUUUCUGAUUACAUAAUUUUAGCAUUUUAUGACCUUAAUUCUAAACUGGGGCUGGACUUGAUCACAACAUAAGAAGUUUAUGUGCACUCUGACUUGAGCUCUGCCUCAAAUCUCUGCUGGUUUUCAAUCACAUGCCUCUCGGGGGUAACAGAAAUUUUCAGUCUGUACAGAAUUUGUUCCCAGGUUUAGACGACUCUUGAUUUCUGCUGAAACAUCCCAAUACUGAUUUAUUUUUGCAAGUAAUGAAUGAGGCUGUAAGAUCCAACAGAAAAAAAUAUUUCCAAAUCCAACUAUUUUUAUUUUUUUAAUGUGUUUACCCCGCUCAGUAGGUAAAUGGGUAUGAUGACUUCAAUAGUUGUAAUUUUCGUCUGCUUCUAUUAUGUAGCAUAUACUCAGGAAAGACUGUAGGAGAACAUAAGAUAACCUAUGGUUAGAUAUUUAAAUCUCAACAUUUCUGUAAACACUGUAGGAGAGACUUCUGCAAGUCCUGCCAAACUCAAUUACCCACCAUAAUUACACAGUAUUUAAUGUGUGUGUGGCCUUGUGGCCUGCACUUCUCUGUGUGAAAAAAGUGGAGACUACAUACCUGGUUUCCACCUUUUUUUUUUUUUUUUUUGUGAAGGUAUAGCAAAGCAGCCAUGAAAUAUUUCAACCUUUUCCCAUUUCAUCUAUAAUUUGGUCUUCUUUUGCAGUAAGUAACAGAUCCGUAUUUCUCUGUGCUUGGUUAUCCCACAUGGCUAGUGUUCUGCAUGGUAAAGAAUGGAAUAAUGUUUUCAAAUAAUUAAAUACAUGAGUUAAAUUGUAUAACCAAAGUCCACGGGAACUGAUACCAAAUGCUUCUGAAAAUUUUUCCUAAUAUUUUAUCCUUAUAUAUAUAAAGUGUGUAUAUAUGUAUGUAUAAAGUAUAACUUAUUAUUUCUUCAUGUAAUAAUUUCUCGGGAGCAUUCAGGAGAGCAGCAGCACUUAAUAAUCUAGUAAGGUAGCACUUCUCUGAUGGCAACAUUACGCCUCUUUGUCUGCGUGUUGGUCCCUGAUGCUGCUGAAGGAGAUGAGGAACUGCGGCCUGAGCUCAGCAUGGGCAGGAUGACGGCACUUUGCCUUUCACAGGCUGGGGAUACACUUUUAGUCUCUGUUUACUCAGCUGAGAGAAAUGGAGAGGUUUUUCCACAGGGUAACUUAGGUUAGACUUUUGUCCUCUGGAGAUGCUCAGCUCUUCCCUUGGGUGGGUACCACAGUGCAGGGAUGAAGCCUCUGCAGAGUUGUUACAGUAUAUUGCCCUCAAAGAGCAUAAAAUACAGCACUUCAGGGGAUAUUAUUGAGAGAAAAAUCUUGAGUUCACUUUCCUGAGGGUCUUUAAUGACCUGUUUUAAGAAAUGCAAUCCCAAACAGGCUUCCUACAGGAGGAACUGGAAGGUGCAUGACAAAAUUAAAGAAAACUCAGAGCUCUUGCGCUGCGUUACCUAACAGUUAAAUAUUUUGUUGUUAUGUUAUUUGUUUUGUGCUAUUUAGUGGGAUGCUGACCAAGCUGCACAGGGAAACUGUCAUUAAUUAUUAAGAAAUUGUCUAAUCCAUCAGGACAUCAGUACUGCUAUAAUGUUUCCCCUGAGGAGACAAAAAGAGCCUGGAGUAAGGAGCUGGAGGUGUUCCAGUAGGAACAUGCAGCCCCAAAAAAGCAGUCUUACUUUUUAAAUCUGUUAAAUGAAAUUUCCAGAUGUUUCCUUCCUCCUCAGUGUUGCACACCAAAGAAAGGUUCGCUUUUAGAAAAUGGAAUUUGCUUUCUAGAAAAGAAAUACUGCUGAGGGGACUAAAAGGCAGUAUCCUGAGGGACUGAAAUCCUCUGUCAAGAAAAUUGUCCUUUGGGCACUACCAUGGUAUUACAUGAAAUAAUAUAAAAGCUCUGACCAGGGACUGCUUUGUAGUCAUAGUACUGCAGUAAAACCCUAUUGAGCUUAAAGCCAGAAGGGACAUCAAAUCCUAUAGUUUUGCUGCCAAGUGUAUCACAAAUGCAAAAUUUCACCUAUUUACCUGGCUUUUGACCUAUUUUUGUUUGUCUGAUAGAUGGCCAGGAAGACACCCAGUAUUGAUCUGAAGAUAAGAUCUUAUUUACUCUAUUGCAGUGUCUGGCUUCAACUUUUAGGUGCUAAAUCCUGUUAUGCCUCUGGGACAGCAACCCAGAACCAGGCAUGCAUCAAGUACCAGAGAUGGUCCACCAUGGUCACCCUCAAAGAGGAUUUGGGGCAAAUCUACUUUUUCUAUGUCAGUAAUUCUCUAUUGUGUGGCAAAAUAAGUCAAAAAAAGUGCAGCUUCUGUAGCCAGGUAUGAACAAGUACUAAAUCUGUGUCUCUCAAUUCUCAGUCCUUACACUUGGGGAGUAAGCAUCCGUCUUCUGUCUGAUAUGGUAGUAUUUUACUUGACAGCAGGAAAAACCUUGAUAAAAUUUUUUCUAUGAAUCACUUGAAUUUAAGAAAGGAUUUUUGUUCUAUCUCCUGUUUCAAACUUUUCUUCUCCUCUCUUCUCUUAAAUCCCCGAAUUAGGAGUGAAAGGCUCAUGAGCUUCCCUCUGCAGUACUACGGGUGCUUUCUGUCAGCUGAUAAAAAGGCUUUUCUAACCAUGCAAGCAAGCCUGUGAGGCUGCGAGAGGCAUCUUUGUGCUUAAAUCUGGUAGUUUCACUCUCCCUCUUUGCAGUUUCAGGUGUCCCUGGUUCAUCUUUAAACUCUGGAGUAGCUGGAGCAUCUCAGGAUGCUCUGCAUCUGGCUGACAGAUACAGCUGCAGAUGUUUGUCUCUUGUGUUCAAUACCAUGCAUCCCCUCCCUUCUUUAAGUAUGUUUGGGGGGGCAUGAUUGUGAGCAGGACCUGAUCAGAAAUGUUUUUGGUGGAAAAAGCAGAUUCUUUGGGGUCCUCCACAGGAGCAAAAGAGCAGUUAGUAUAAAGACUUUGUUAAAGAUUGGUUCUAGUGUUCCAAUAAAUUAAAUUUCUGGUUGAAAUGAAAGAGCAUCUAAUUAAGCUUCACUGUCCCCCCAUGAUCUUCAGAACAGCCUGGAAUGAUAUUAGUCUCCCUCAGGGUUUAAUUUAUAUCCCAGACUUUCAGGAAAAUACCGCUCUGAUUAAUCGUGGCAUCAGAAUUUGGUGAAUAAGUUUGCAAAUAAUACAGUAAUCCUUGUGCACAUUAAAGACUCCGCUAAUCCAGGGUGAGAAGUUUCAACAUGGCAAAUGUUAUCCUGACACAAGAAAACAGCUUUCCAAGCAAAAAUGAUUUCUGAAGGGGUUUUGACUGCUCUGUGCUUCAGUGUCUGGUAAGUUUACCAAUAAUCAAAUACACUGCAAUUUAACUAAUUGUCUGAUUAGGGGCAAUUCCCUAGACAUUAUAACAUGUCAGUUUUUCAGUGACAGAGCUGACAGAUUAGUCUCAUUUCAUUGUUAUAAAUCACAGAGUAUGACUUACUAGCAAACCUGAAGUAUGGAAAUGAGAUACAAUGAAAUGCACAACAACAUAGAGACUGUGGUGUUUAUAUUUUAUAAAGCAAAGGAAAACAGCAAAGGUACAGAGAGUGCCUGUGUGCAAAUGGAUCCCUUACUAGUGAAAUCAAACCUUACUAUGUUGAGGCAUAAUUAUGUGGAAUAAACAUAGAAAUUUACAUUUUUCAUAUGUGUUCGGUCCAAACACAGUUUGCUUCAUCGAAAGUUCAUACUAAGGAAUUGAUAGCAAAAGGAGUGAAAGUGAAAGAGGUUAUAUAUGAGAGUGAAGGAAAGGGAUGGGAACAGCACAGCUAUAAUGUAUCAGAGGGAAUGGGCCUGAAUUUCACAUAUUUCCAGCACGAUUUCUCCGGGAUCUCUGAUGCAGAAACAAGGUUCAAACAGAAGUGGCUACUACCAUUUUAUUAGGUCAUCUAUUAUCAAGCCAUAAACCAUAUCAGUGGAAGUUGAUGAUCGUUGUGUUGUUUAAUACGGUACUAUCCAACUUUUCGUGAGACAGAGACACAGCCUGGAAAUUGUCAGGGGUGUUUUUAAACAUCAAAAAAUAUUUUCAAAAAUAUUAAUCUGACUUGUUCCACCACUACAAACUAGAUUAAGGACAGUAUAUGUGCAUCGACGUCCUGAACUCUCAUAGUGAAACUGGUUUUGAAAAGGACUGAGAUAGUCCAGCUUUCCUGCUGUACAUGGAGAGACCCCAUUGCACACCCAGCCCCGAACUCCAGACCACCUCAUCACAGCCCAUAUUCAGAUUUUUCUCUUGGUUUCCACCCUCAAAUGUUGGCUGUAUAUCUUGAGUGCUUGCUCAGUGCUCAGUGCUUCUUGCUCCAUCCUCAGCAAACCCUAAAGCAACACAGUGUUCAGCAAGGGGCAGGAGAAAGGUGGUGGGGGAAUUCAUGGUUCACCCUCCUCAGAGGAAGGGUGAUUUCUCCCUUGCUUUGGUUAUAAAGGACAUUAUGGGGUUUUCUAUUAGAAAACAGGUAAGAAAAGGUGCAUCUUUCAGUCCCUUUGUCAGGAGAUGCUCCAUGGUACGUUGUGUUCUGCUGUUUCAGGUGGAUAAUUGUCUCUGCUUUUGUGAGUGCUGCUACACAAUCUGGUUUUAAAAAGUGCAAAGGUCUUUGCUGGUAGAAAAACCUCUUUUAUGAGCUGUUUCCAUUUGCUACAGGAAAUCUGACACUGUCUUUGCCUAAGACCAUGGCCUUUUUUGUGUUUCCAUCAAUCAGCCCCCUUUCUCCAUUAAAGCCUGCCCUGUAGCUUCAGAUCCAUUUCUUUUCUUGGACAUCAAUGCAUUUGCCAGUGCCUUGAUGGCUUUCAGUUCUUGGAAUGUCACUGUUUCCUUUGUCCUUGCAUCUGAAGCAGCUGAGAUGCAGAUCUGCUCUUUACAGAGAACUGGAGCAUCAGUCAAGUUGAUUACAGCAAAGCUGGCAGGUUCCAAAAGUUGCAUGAAAAAUACACUCCUUUUUUGGCAGGCAAAUUGUCCCUUGAAAAGGAAGUUCUGUCAAAGCUGAGCUUGUCUGGAUCUGAGAGUUUCAAAUAAUUUGUGUAAAACAUACAUACUUCGUUUUUCCCACAAUGUGAAUACCUCUGAUGAAAAGAAAUCAUCUCUCUUUACCAUUCUUUUAAUGUCCCCUAAAUUAGGAAGUAGUACCAAAUAAAAUAAGAGUCCAUUAUCAAUUAUUAUUCCAUAACCUUUCCAUUCAGACACAGUCUUUGAAAAACUCAUUAAGGAACUAGCAGUGGCUAAUGUGUGCACUCAAAAUAAUGCACAUUCAUACUCUAUUUUCAGCAAGAGCAGCCGAGGUUCAUUAACAUUAUACACUAUCAAAUGAAUUCACUUUGGGAUAAUGCCAUUCGAUUAAACUACCCACAGCCCACUUAACUGGAGCUUUGGUGUGUGUUUGACAGACACUUUAAACUCCCUGGAGAUCCUCUGCUUUCCCAUUUUCAUUCCAGCCCCUUCCAGAGGCCAGAUUCUGUCUGCUCACAAGUUGAUUAGUGACUUGCUCUUUCCAUGGAGUUUCUGGGGCUUAAGUGAGAUGAAUUGCAGAGCUAAAUGUUGUCCUGGCUGGGGAAAGGUAACAGAAUGGGAUCCAAAAUAAUGAAGUUAACAAAAGGGUAGUUAUUCAGUUAUCCCUUCACAGCCACAGCUCAGAAAAUGGGUUUCAGGUAAGACACUGGGCUAGGAUUCAAGAAAUGAAUUAGCAUUAAGCUCAAUUCUUAAACUUGAGUGAGAUUGUAGACCUUGUUUACCCACCUCAGCUGUCUGCUCACAAAAUUAAGACAAUGAUUUUUCCUACCUGCAAUCUCCCUUUAGCUUCCAACGUGUUUUUGGCAGGUCCCACCUCUCAGUGACAGUUCGUGCAGUGAUUGUCACUGUGGGACUCAUGUGGGAAAUGCAGAAAAGAUGCAAAUUGACUGAUUUGCACACAUUUGUGAUGUGAGAAGGAGAAGAAUGGCCAACCGUGUCUUGGAGCUUCAGACAGAUGGUGAUGGCAGGAUGGGACCAUCCUCAUCUCACAGGGAUGACAAGUUCUGAAAACCCAAUCAAGCAGCCAGCCAAGAAUCCUGCAGAUGAAGCUGCUGUGACCACCAGCAGGUGUUAAGAAGUGGAACCAGCAGGAUGAGGAUCCCUCGGCACAUCCUGUGGGUUUUAUUGAAAUGACAUUCAGACGAGGACUUUAUUUCUUCUAGGUGGCAGCUCUAUGCAAAUUAAAAAGUGGGUGUCAAUAAAUACACACUCAGGGAUUGCCUUUA